GCAACGCGCAGAACCUUACCAGCCCUUGACAUCCUCAUCGCGAUUUGUGGAGACACAUAUCUUCAGUUCGGCUGGAUGAGUGACAGGUGCUGCAUGGCUGUCGUCAGCUCGUGCUGUGAAGUGUCGGGUUAAGUCCCUUAACGAGCGCAACCCCUAUUGUUAGUUGCUAACGCGUCAUGGCGAGUACUCUAGCGAGACUGCCGGUGUCAAACCGGAGGAAGGUGGGGAUGACGUCAAGUCCUCAUGGCCCUUACGGGUUGGGCUACACACGUGCUACAAUGGCGGUGACAGUGGGACAAUCCCCAAAAACCGUCUCAGUUCGGAUUGUUCUCUGCAACUCGAGAGCAUGAAGGUGGAAUCGCUAGUAAUCGCAGAACAGCAUGCUGCGGUGAAUACGUUCCCGGGCCUUGUACACACCGCCCGUCACACCAUGGGAGUUGGUUCUACCCGACGACGGUGCGCUAACCUUUUCGGAGGCAGCCGGCCACGGUAGGAUCAGCGACUGGGGUGAAGUCGUAACAAGGUAGCCGUACUGGAAGGUGCGGCUGGAUCACCUCCUU
rnacentral:rRNA from 1 species